CGACUUCAUGAAGCUGGAAUCGCUAGUAAUCGUGUAUCAGCAAUGACACGGUGAAUACGUUCCCGGACCUUGUACACACCGCCCGUCAAGCCAUGGAAGUUGGAUAUACCUGAAGAUGGUUGCUGCAAAGCGCUGUUUAGGGUAGAGCUAGCAACUGGGGCUAAGUCGUAACAAGGUAGCCGUACCGGAAGGUGUGGCUGGAAUACCUCCUUU
rnacentral:rRNA from 1 species